rnacentral:rRNA from 1 species
GAUGAACGCUGGCGGCGUGCCUAAUACAUGCAAGUCGAGCGAACGGACGAGAAGCUUGCUUCUCUGAUGUUAGCGGCGGACGGGCGAGUAACACGUGGAUAACCUACCUAUAAGACUGGGAUAACUUCGGGAAACCGGAGCUAAUACCGGAUAAUAUUUUGAACCGCAUGGUUCAAAAGUGAAAGACGGUCUUGCUGUCACUUAUAGAUGGAUCCGCGCUGCAUUAGCUAGUUGGUAAGGUAACGGCUUACCAAGGCAACGAUGCAUAGCCGACCUGAGAGGGUGAUCGGCCACACUGGAACUGAGACACGGUCCAGACUCCUACGGGAGGCAGCAGUAGGGAAUCUUCCGCAAUGGGCGAAAGCCUGACGGAGCAACGCCGCGUGAGUGAUGAAGGUCUUCGGAUCGUAAAACUCUGUUAUUAGGGAAGAACAUAUGUGUAAGUAACUCUGCACAUCUUGACGGUACCUAAUCAGAAAGCCACGGCUAACUACGUG